GGAUCAAGAUUCUCAUUACUACAUGGGCAGGAAUAGAAACACACAUUCAACAUUUGGUCACAGCAGUACGUUGCCAAGUGACCUAGACCAGAACACGCAUCACAUCCACAUCUGACUGGAUCUGGUUCUAGGUAGCCCUGUCAUAAAAUCUAUAGUAAUACACUCUCAUUUUUAUUCUAGAAUAGGUAAAGGUAGGAGCAAACCACCUGGUUUCUAGUGAUCAAUCUUAACUUUUUGAUAUGUGAGACAUUUGCUAACAAAUUCAAAGAUAUCUUUCUUUAAUCCUAUCCACUAGUGCUGAGAUAUCAUAUUC
rnacentral:lncRNA from 1 species